rnacentral:miRNA from 1 species
CCUGAACUCACUAUGUAGCCCAGGCUGGCCUCACACUCACAGUGAUCCUCCUGCCUCAGCCUUCUGAGUGCUGGGAU